GGUGAGGUGUCCGAGUGGCUGAAGGAGCACGCCUGGAAAGUGUGUAUACNNUCGAGGGUUCGAAUCCCUCUCUCACCGCCA
rnacentral:tRNA from 1 species